rnacentral:lncRNA from 1 species
GGACACCUUUGCACUCAUGAGACAACUCUGGGAUCUGACCCCAGGACCACCUGCACACCUAAGAAUGGAUUAAAUUACAACACAGACACAUCCACACAGAGCGGCUGCUCUUGGAAGAUGUGUGUGCAUAUACCUGUCCUGCCUCUCCUUUGCACCCUUCAUGGUUUCACACCAGCCCUGCAGCUACAGAGUCUCCAUUGGCCUGUGAGCAUCGGGAAAGCUCUCUGGCCCAGCAUGUGCACUUCACCUGAUGCUUAUGGAAGACACACAGCACCCAAGUGCACACUGAUAAACAGGAAAACACCUCCUCCAGGAUUGCUCUAGGCCUCAGAGGAAUUGGCCAGAGCUUCGAAGCAGUGUGGGCAGGGCCUUCCUGACAUUGUGGCAUGACUUCUGCUUGCUGCCUUCUCCCAUAAAACAGUGAUUCCUCCGUAGAAAGCACUCCGCAGUGGGUGAGUACUUUCUACUAUGCCUGGAUCAGGCCUCAGAGUAAACAUCAAGGCCUGAUGUUUACGUAUCGAUACUUGCUUCACUCUGACUCACUCCUGUCUUCCUCAGGGAGAGCAUGGAGAACAAGCACGUCAUACAACCCUGAGCCACCCCCACCCCUUACCUCUUGGUGCUGUGGCCAGCUGUCUUCACACGAUGGUUGGUACUCACUUACCCAGAGGCCC